UAGUUGGAUCAUGGCUCAGGACGAACGCUGGCGGCGUGCUUAACACAUGCAAGUCGAACGGAAAGGCCCCAGCUUGCUGGGGUACUCGAGUGGCGAACGGGUGAGUAACACGUGGGUGAUCUGCCCUGCACUUCGGGAUAAGCCUGGGAAACUGGGUCUAAUACCGGAUAGGACCAUCGUUUAGUGUCGGUGGUGGAAAGUUUUUCGGUGCAGGAUGAGCCCGCGGCCUAUCAGCUUGUUGGUGGGGUAAUGGCCUACCAAGGCGUCGACGGGUAGCCGGCCUGAGAGGGUGGACGGCCACAUUGGGACUGAGACACGGCCCAAACUCCUACGGGAGGCAGCAGUAGGGAAUCUUCGGCAAUGGGGGCAACCCUGACCGAGCAACGCCGCGUGAGUGAAGAGGUUUUCGGAUCGUAAAGCUCUGUUGUAAGUAAGAACGGUGUGAAGUGGAAAGUCACCUGUGACGGUAGCUUCCAGAAGG
rnacentral:rRNA from 1 species